GACACUUUGUUUUGCUUUGCUGUUUUUACAUUAUUAUAUAUGAGUCGAACAGCGCCCAUUUUUUUGUUAAUUCUUUAACACCUGAACUGUAAAUAGACUAAGCAGAGGCAGCUAACCCCUGUCUAUUAAGUUUAUUAUUUGCAAUAAAUACCAUAUAUGUCCGAAUUGACGCAAGGAGUUUUGGUGACCACACCCAUGAAAAAAAGGUUUAAUAUAUUGACAGAGAGCAAUUUAUCUUUAGCUCAGUUUGCUAAUGGCCUGUGUAGCCUAUAAGCGGCAUGGGAAGUGAAAGGCAUAAGAGAGGAGAGGAGCGGUAGGCUAGAUGGGUUACUGAAUGAGCUCCCGGCGCAGCGUGCUGAAUGGGUCAAACGACAAAAAAACGGUUCGAUCGUUUCGGCGAACUCUGACUUUAGUAGCAGUGAGAUAGUGAGCAGUAACGAACUUUUAUUUCGAAAAGGAGAAUAUCGUUUUUCAGUUCUCUGCGUCCGAUGGCAGUCCUCUGGUCUCGAUUACCUUGGUGUUAUUAUGCCAACGUCACCCAAUCGAUAUGACUUUCAUUUCUAGCUGCCUAUCGUCGACUUCAGUUGGGAGCUGACAUCACUGGUUGUCUUGCGGCUUGUCAAAACUUUAUUGAAAGCUGACAGAAUAACGCGGGGACUUCGAGGAACAAUCACUUUGCAUGCGCCCUUACCGACGUCCUUUCGCUCUGUCACAUUCCGAGGUAUAUUCGAACCAGCCUUCAUGAGACAUGAUUAUAUUAGGCUGCAAAGUAAAACUGCAGGAACAAAAACACCACAAAUAACUCUUGUCACAUCGGAGGCCUCACUUCAAUUAGACACAAACUCAAUGCAUUUGCAGAAUGUUAAGAGAGAGUUAUUUAUAAUAUUGAAUUUCGAAAAGGUCUUACCCCCAGCUUAGUUCUAUUAGCUCCAUGCACACGACUUUAAAUAGCUGCUUAGUCGCGAGCGGAGCGUCCGAUGGAACAGAUGGAGCAUCAAUUUGAUUCCAUCCUCCAACACCAUCCAGAGAUUGAUUUUGCACUUGCUUUUAAUUUUACCAUAAUUAAUUAGAUCAUUACAACUGUUUUCCAUUGAUUUUCCCAUUUAAAUUCAAAAUUAAAGGUGAAUUAGUAUGUGAUCUGUUUUCUAUUAACCGUA
rnacentral:lncRNA from 1 species